AUUGAACGCUGGCGGCAGGCCUAACACAUGCAAGUCGAGCGAGCGGCGGACGGGUGAGUAAUGUCUGGGAAACUGCCCGAUGGAGGGGGAUAACUACUGGAAACGGUAGCUAAUACCGCAUACCAUCGGAUGUGCCCAGAUGGGAUUAGCUAGUAGGUGGGGUAAAGGCUCACCUAGGCGACGAUCUCUAGCUGGUCUGAGAGGAUGACCAGCCACACUGGAACUGAGACACGGUCCAGACUCCUACGGGAGGCAGCAGUGGGGAAUAUUGCACAAUGGGCGCAAGCCUGAUGCAGCCAUGCCGCGUGUGUGAAGAAGGCCUUCGGGUUGUAAAGCACUUUCAGCGAGGAGGCGUUACUCGCAGAAGAAGCACCGGCUAACUCCGUGCCAGCAGCCGCGGUAAUAC
rnacentral:rRNA from 1 species